GGUUCAUCCAAUUUGGUGACUGGAGAGACCAAGAGCUUCUUUAGCUUUGCAAAAUCAGGGUGGCAGGUUGAGAAAGUGAACCCCAUCAAGCGGUACGAAGAGAACAGUCAUCGCGGGGUUUUCCCUUGUAAAUGUGCUCUUCAAACAGGGCCGUGCAGGCCUCAUUCGAGGAGUGGUGGACAAGCUCAUCGGGCUCUACAACCAGAAGAAGACCAAGCCCGUGGUGGAUUCCAUGUGGGCCCUGGAGGAGGCAUGUUUCAAAGGCCAGUAGCCACACGUGGCCAGAGGUUCCCCUGUGGGACCACGCAGACAUGCAAGACGCUCUCAUCUGGGCAGGAGUCUCCUGAAGCUGGUCGGUGAGACGAUGUCAUCCUUCUGUUUGAAGAAAGAAAAUCAGUGAAAUGUUGGAAAUAAAGAUCGGACUGUGAAGAAAGUAUAGAAAGACUUACUGCAGUUGUUGGACCUAAAGGCUGUACCUGGACGAUUACACGCUGAUAACAGAAAGGAUGCCGAGGAUUUUCCUAGGUGUGGAGUGAAAGAUGCCUUUACUAAAAGUACACAUGGAGGGUGGUCCUUGAGAACUUCUCAGCAGCUCUCUCUUGCUCCUUCUCGUUGAUUGGCCAGUGGGCUGGUGGGAGUGCUGGCAGGAGGUCGAAAUGCAGGAGAAGAUUAAGUUCAGGACAUUUGUUCCCCAGCUUUCUCCCAGCCAGGAUGCUGGUAUGCUGUGUUCCUCCACUAAAGGUACAGCAGUAGAUGUGUUGCUGCUUCCUCUGGGCUCCAGCAGUUCCCUCUUUUCAGGUCUAGAUGGCAUAAUGCAUUUUCCACUCUUGUCAGCCUUAGGUGCUUCGCCAUCUAUCUACUUGCUGUAAUAAUCUGUUUAUUAGAGUCUCCUCAUUUGCGUGGCCCCAGCUGAGUGGUCACCUGUUUCUUUCUGGGAUUUGGAUUACUCCAGCCACAAGGCAGAACAAUAAGAACCCAGGAAGGACAUAGAAAGAAAUCUUUGGGAAGCAAGGCCAAAGUAUAAAGUCUAUUUUGAAGGAAAAUGGAAUUAAGCUAGCCUCGGAAUUCUUUAAAUUUGUAUACCAGAAAAUAGAGCAGCAAAGUUAUAAUAUACUCAGAAGAAAGUGAUACUAUGGAUUUCAUAUACAGUAAAAAUACUCCUCAACUGUAAAACCUGAACAUACAUAAAGACUUGAAAAAAUGUUUUUCCUCAAGAGUACUUCUUAAGUAAACUACAAGAACUUAACUAUGGGAAAUCUCAAGAGACUAUGUACAAGAUGAGAUUGUAAGCACUAAAUAUAUGAAACUGUGGAAUAAGGUUUAAGAUAUAUUUCAGUUAUAAGGUGAUAGAAAAAAAUGUAAAAGUGAUACACCUCACUAUGCCUAAGUGAUUAAGUUAAAGGAAAAUGUGAGAGAAAAAAAGACAGAAAGUAGAAUAAGUUCACUAAUUACCUCAUCCAAAGUAUCUGGAAAUAAAUAGCUAACAUUGGCAAUGCAAAGCUAAGUAAUAAAAAUAAUGCUAUUUUCUAAAACCAGAUGUAGCUAAGAGGUAAGAGACAAAACAGUAGAGAAAAUACAGUAAUAAUUUUCAUGAUAUAGAAUUAAUAAAAGACUAAUGGUUUUAAAUUAGGAUAUUAUCAUAAAGAUGCUACUACAACAAAAUGCAAACUUUCCUAAAUAUCAGAAAAUCUCCAUAAAAAAAGAAUUUAAGCAAACACACAGUUUAAAAAUCAAUACAAUUUUUUAAAAGUAAAUGUAACAUGAUGCAAUAUGAAACCAUAAUUGGAACAGCAAGUAAGUUUGAAUGGGCUAAAAUCAAUGGGAAACUAAUUUCACAUUACUUUAAAAAGAAAAAUCUGACAUGAAAAAUUCUCCUAAAACAUAAUUAAAAUCUGUACAGGAAAACAUACUUUAAUGAAUAAAAGAAAUUCUGCAGCUGUACCAAAAAAGUAAAAACAAAGUUAAGAAAAACAGUAUUAUAUAAUAAUAAAUAAAUAUUUAGAAUAUGAAAGAAGAAACAGAAUCAAACAAUAGUUAAUUUCAGUUUUUUCACUCAGAGAUCAACUGAAAAAAUAAUAGUAUGGAACAAAAUGACUUAAUGCAGUGCUAACUGGUUCUUAUAUGCAUAUACUUUACUAUGUAUAGAUUAAUGUAUUUGUGUAUAUGUAUAUAUCUUGUGUAAAUAUAAAAUUUUAUAUACAUAGUAUAUAUAAAUAUACAAUAUGCAUAUUAUAUAAAACUUCUCUAAAAUUGAUGUUAU